UUUCCGGUUGAUCCCGCCGGAAGCUACUGCUAUCAGGACCCGACUAAAGCAUGCAAGGCAUCUUUCGGGAGCCGAACUGCUCAGUAACACGUGGUUAACCUGCCCUUAGGUAACGGAUAACUUCGGGAAACUGAGGGUAAACCGUUAUAGGGAAUUGUUGCUGGAAGGCGCUUUUCUCGAAAUCUAUAUGAGCCUAAGGAUGGGUCUGCGGGAGAUUAGCUUGUUGUUGGGGUAAAUGCCCAACAAGGCUAUAAUCUCUACGGGUCAUGAGAGUGAUAGCCCGGAGACGUGCUCUGAGACAUGAGCACGGGCCCUACGGGGCGCGGCAGUUGCGAAACCUUCACAAUGCGUGAAAGCGUGAUGAGGGGAUCCUGAGUGAAUCCGUUUUUCGCGGAUUCUUUUGACAAGUCUUAAUAGCUUGUUGAAUAAGUGGUGGGUAAUACGGUUGCCAGCCGCCGGGGUGAUAACCGAGCCACGAGUGG
rnacentral:rRNA from 1 species